CUUACAUAGAUUGUCACUGUCAUCAUAUAUUAACAAAGGCCUUAAAUUUCACUUUAAACCCUUAUUUUUUAUAGGAUAUUUUAUAUCCAUAACAUUUUGAUUUGAUGUGUCUUUUUUGUUUUCUAAUAAAGGAGGGGAUUGUCAUUUCUUUUAGACCAUGAAGAAGUCAUUUGAGGAAGACAAAGAAAGCUUUAUUUAAAGCAUCUGUAUGUGCUACAGGAACUACUCAAAGUUGUCGUUAGGCUUCUGUCGAGAACUGAAGAACAGAAGUAGAAGCUGAAGAGAAAUACUUUUACCUUGCCCUUCUCCGUUCAUUCCUUAAGUCUGUUCGUUAUGUUGUGUAAUGGACUGACUCAGCACAAUGGGAACAGGCGAGUCCCAAGCUUAUCACAGCUCUCUUUAAAGGUCUUCAACAACUUUAUAUCUAAAUGUCUUAACGAUGAGUGUUAUAUUGACAUUCAGUGCUACAAGCUAAGAUCCCAUCACAGCAGAACGAACCAGCUGAUAACACCCGAUAUGUAAAUGCAAAGGAAUAUUGCUUUGGUUUAGCCUAAUAUCAUUGUCUUGCAUUAAUGCCAUAAAGCUAGAGACAAAAAUGGGCACCAAUUAUGCUUCUUCUAUAAAAGGCUAAUAUUCAGUAACAUCUGAAAAUCGCUGAUAUCGUAUUUUUAUUAUAAUAACAGAUUUCUUUGAUCAUGCAAGCAAGAGCAAUAUAAAGCUAACAUAAAAUUCUAUUAAAACUAAGAGUGGUACAGUGGAAAAUAAGUAUAUAAACAUACAUACACGUGCACACACCUACAUAGUAGGUGUGAGCACAUUUUUGUGUAGUUGAUGGGGCCAUAUAACCUCCAAAAAGAAACAUGGAUCUGGGAAGUCACAUUUUCAAUAAGUGGGAGAUGGAAGUAAAAAGAUGAAAAUCCACCUUCUCAGUGGGACAGCUCUUUUCAUUUUGGAACAGGUCUCUAGAUAUUCAUAUUUUUAUGAGUGGUAGGUUCUUGAAUAGACAGAAAAAAGGAGAACAAAAUCAGGGGAAAUGGGUAGGACGGUAGAGAAAGGAAAGGAAGUCAGAACAGAGAACAGACCAGAUGAUACCAACAUUAAGAGAAAAUUGAAGACAAGGAGAAGAUCUACGCUAGGAAUAAUUCUGUAGACUGUCUCACAUCUGGGUAUUUUGGAAUAUGUCCUGACAAACAAGGCUGGCCAGGUCACCAGGAAAACAAGCUCUCUUGGGGUCAGAAGUGGGCCUAGCUACAGAGUCUGUUUUGUGAGCACAUUCUUUUUGGAAGAAUGGAAUGAAUCUACCCUGGAUGCUGGUGUGACGUAUGGAUUGGUACUUUUUCUGCAAAGUGUUUCUGAGGUUUGGCUGUACAAGGGGGGAGAUUUAUAUAACACAUUAUAACAACGCAAACACGCUAUUUCUCUUUCCCUGAAGCAGGUAGAGAAGUGUUUUGCUUAGUUCUCGCAUGAAAAAAUACCUUGAACAUAUAGCAGACAUGGCUUACUCAAACUGGGAGCUUAGCAGAGGCAGUCCAUGACAGAAGAGCACACAAAAUCUCGAGCAGCUGAGGCAGAGGAGUAGCGUUGAGUGCAAAGCCGAAGCAGUAGACAGACACCAUUUUGACUUCAUCACUCAGCGGUGUAACUCAGUAUUUGAUGACUCAUAUUUCAGGGUCUCAGCCAGGAAAGUGAGGCUAACUAUUCAUUUUUUAUAAUGUUGUGAAGUGUGUAUACACGUACACUUGUGCUCUCAAACAAGUGACUGUAUAAGCAUCUGACACAAUUAUACCUUGUAAACAGACAAUUCCUGGUAAAGGUCUCUAUAUCCUAUUUUUUAAGUUAUGGAUAGGAAUGAAAAAAUGUGAUUAAUGGCUUAUUUGAAGACAUGUCUGAAGUAUUGAAAUUUUGGCUUUCUUCACUAUAUGAAAUAGCAAUCAAGUUGUUACUGCUUGAAUAUGAAUAUGAGUUUUACUUUUCUAUCUACCCUGAAAGAUGUAUGAUACAGUUUUCUGUGUUUUAGAUUCUUCUCUAUCAUUUCUUUUUGUGCUCACUAUUUUUGGUUUUCAAGUUGUCUUUCUGUCCUCUGCAUUUAUUUUCAUGUAAUCCAUUGGCUUACUUGGCCUCUAAACAUCAAA